UGGGGAAUCUUAGACAAUGGGGGCAACCCUGAUCUAGCCAUGCCGCGUGAGUGAUGAAGGCCUUAGGGUCGUAAAGCUCUUUCGCCUGUGAUGAUAAUGACAGUAGCAGGUAAAGAAACCCCGGCUAACUCCGUGCCAGCAGCCGCGGUAAUACGGAGGGGGUUAGCGUUGUUCGGAAUUACUGGGCGUAAAGCGCGCGUAGGCGGAUUAGAAAGUUGGGGGUGAAAUCCCGGGGCUCAACCCCGGAACUGCCUCCAAAACUGCUAGUCUAGAGUUCGAGAGAGGUGAGUGGAAUUCCGAGUGUAGAGGUGAAAUUCGUAGAUAUUCGGAGGAACACCAGUGGCGAAGGCGGCUCACUGGCUCGAUACUGACGCUGAGGUGCGAAAGUGUGGGGAGCAAACAGGAUUAGAUACCCCUGGUAGUC
rnacentral:rRNA from 1 species